AGAGAAUCCAAUGAUUCCUGAGGGGUUUCAAUAAUUACAAAAAUUUUAUCAAAUCUCAUAGAAUCCAAUGAUUCCUGAGGAGUUUAAUGUAUUACAACAAUCUUAUCAUAUCUCAGAGAAUCCAAUGAUUCCUGAGGGGUUUCAAUUAUUACAACAAUCUUAUCAUAUCUCAGAGAAUCCAAUGAUUCCUGAGGAGUUUCAAUUAUUACAAAAAUCUUAUCAUAUCUCAGAGAAUCCAAUGAUUCCUGAGGAGUUCAACAUAUUACAACAAUCUUAUCAUGUCUGAGAGAAUCCAAUGAUUCCUGAAGAGUUUAAGGUAUUAUAACAAUCUUAUCAUAUCUCAGAGAAUCCAAUGAUUCCUGAGGGGUUUCAAUUAUUACAACAAUCUUAUUAUAUCUCAGAGAAUCCAAUGAUUCUUGAGGAGUUUAGAGUAUUACAGCAAUCUCAUUAUGUCUCAGAGAAUCCAAAGAUUCCUGAGGAGGUUAAUUAUUACAACAAUCUUAUCAUAUCUCAGAGAAUCCAAUGAUUCCUGAGGAGUUUAACGUAUUAUAACAAUCUUAUCAUAUCUCAGAGAAUCCAAUGAUUCCUGAGGAGUGUAACGUAUUACAACAAUCUCAUUAUGUCUCAGAUAAUCCAAUGAUUCCUGAGGAGUUUAACAUAUUACAACAAUAUUAUCAUAUCUCAGAGAAUCCAAUGAUUCCUGAGGGUUUAAAUUUUAACAACAAUCUUAUUAUAUCUCAGAGAAUCCAAUGAUUCUUGAGGAGUUUAGAGUAUUACAGCAAUCUCAUUAUGUCUCAGAGAAUCCAAUGAUUCCUGAGGGGUUUCAAUUAUUACAACAACCUUAUCAUAUCUCAGAGAAUCCAAUGAUUCCUGAGGAGUUUAACAUAUUACAACAAUCUUAUGAUAUCUUAGAGAAUCCAAUGAUUCCUGAGGAGUUUCAAUUAUUACAACAAUCUUAUUAUAUCUCAGAGAAUACAAUGAUUCCUGAGGAGUUUAGAGUAUUGUAACAAUCUCAUUAUGUGUCAGAGAAUCCAAUGAUUGCUGAGGAGUUUAACGUAUUAUAACAAUCUUAUCAUAUCUCAGAGAAUCCAAUGAUUCCUGAAGAGUUUCAAUUAUUACAAAAAUCUUAUCAUAUCUCAGAGAAUACAAUGAUUCCUGAGGAGUUUAACAUAUUACAACAAUCUUAUCAUAUCUCAGAGAAUCCAAUGAUUCCUGGGGGUUUCAAUUAUUACAAAAAUCUUAUCAUAUCUCAGAGAAUCCAAUGAUUCCUACGGAGUUUAACAUGUUACAACAAUCUUAUCAUGUCUGAGAGAAUCCAAUGAUUCCUGAGGAGUUUAACGUAUUACAACAAUCUUAUCAUGUCUCAGAAAAUCCAAUGAUUCCUGAGGAGUUUAAAGUAUUGCAACAAUCAUAUCGUAUCUCAGAGAAUCCAAUGAUUCCUGAGGAGUUUAAU
rnacentral:lncRNA from 1 species